rnacentral:rRNA from 1 species
GCGGGGGCACGGGGGGACUCCUACGGGAGGCAGCAGUGGGGAAUAUUGCACAAUGGGCGCAAGCCUGAUGCAGCGACGCCGCGUGCGGGAUGGAGGCCUUCGGGUUGUAAACCGCUUUUGUUUGGGAGCAAGCCCUUCGGGGUGAGUGUACCUUUCGAAUAAGCACCGGCUAACUACGUG